GACGAACGCUGGCGGCGUGCUUAACACAUGCAAGUCGAACGGAAAGGCCCUGCUUUUGUGGGGUGCUCGAGUGGCGAACGGGUGAGUAACACGUGAGUAACCUGCCCUUGACUUUGGGAUAACUUCAGGAAACUGGGGCUAAUACCGGAUAGGAGCUCCUGCUGCAUGGUGGGGGUUGGAAAGUUUCGGCGGUUGGGGAUGGACCCGCGGCUUAUCAGCUUGUUGGUGGGGUAGUGGCUUACCAAGGCUUCGGCGGGUCGCCGGCCUGAGGGGGUGACCGGCCACAUGGGGACUGGGAUACGGCCCAGACCCCUACGGGAGGCAGCAGUGGGGAAUAUUGCACAAUGGGCGGAGGCCUGAUGCAGCAACGCCGCGGGCGGGAUGACGGCCUUCGGGUGGUAAACCGCUUUCGCCGGUGACGAAGCGUUAGUGACGGUAAUGGGUAAAGAAGCACCGGCUAACUACGUG
rnacentral:rRNA from 1 species